rnacentral:rRNA from 1 species
GAAUUUUGGACAAUGGGCGAAAGCCUGAUCCAGCAAUGCCGCGUGCAGGAUGAAGCCCUUCGGGUUGUAAACUGCUUUUGUACGGAACGAAAAGCUUGGGGUUAAUACCCUGGCGUCACGACUGUACCGUACGAAUAAGCCGCGGCUACAUACAUGCCAGCAGCCGCGGUAAUCCGUAGGGUGCACGCGUUAAUCGGAAUUACUGGGCGUAAAGCGUGCGCAGGCGGUUUUGUAAGACAGAGGUGAAAUCCCCGGGCUCAUCCUGGGAACUGCCUUUGUGACUGCAAGGCUAGAGUACGGCAGAGGGGGGUGGAAUUCCGCGUGUAGCAGUGAAAUGCGUAGAUAUGCGGAGGAACACCGAUGGCGAAGGCAACCCCCUGGGCCUGUACUGACGCUCAUGCACGAAAGCGUGGGGAGCAAA